rnacentral:lncRNA from 1 species
CUUUGAGUAUGUUAUUAACAUGAUAAAUGCAGACAAAUGAGUUUUUAGCUUUUAUUCUGAAGCAGCUGCAGUUUGCAGUGCAGACAUUCUGAAAUAAGACUGCAAAAACCCCAGAAGCCUUUAGGGCAAAAGGGCAGGGCAGAAGGGGGAAAAGCAAUGGGACAACCUGUUCCAUUCUGAUUCUACGAGGAGGCCAAGAGAUGAAAUCUAGAGUUGUGACAAUGAUUUUUGCUAUACAUAUCUUGUGAAGCAUUCAGAAGAGUGAAUUUUACUAUAAUAAAUACUAUUGAAAUCAAAAUGAACUCAGUGUUUUGGAUCUGGAAGAGCUUUUAGUGGUGAAGUCCAAACCCCUUAAUUUUUAAAGGAUUGAAGAAACUUUCUGGGUUGAGUUUGACUCCUAAGGAUACCAACAUUUUCCUCUUCAGCCAGAUGCACAUGUGUGCUGAGAAUUGACAAUGUUUAUGCAGAGCAGAAGAAGCCAUGUAUUUUAUCUUCCAUCUUUGAUUACAUCAGAUAUUCUCUUUGGAAGCUAGUCCCUGUGGGAAAUCUGGUAAGCUCCAUUUUCACUCUGAGUGGACUAGACAGAUUCCAGUCUAAAUU